rnacentral:rRNA from 1 species
UACGUAGGGUGCGAGCGUUGUCCGGAAUUACUGGGCGUAAAGAGCUCGUAGGUGGUUUGUCGCGUUGUCCGUGAAAACUCACAACUCAAUUGUGGGCGUGCGGGCGAUACGGGCAGACUGGAGUACUGCAGGGGAGACUGGAAUUCCUGGUGUAGCGGUGGAAUGCGCAGAUAUCAGGAGGAACACCGGUGGCGAAGGUGGGUCUCUGGGCAGUAACUGACGCUGAGGAGCGAAAGCGUGGGGAGCGAACAGG